UAAACUAGGAAUCUUAAAUGCUGC
rnacentral:piRNA from 1 species